rnacentral:rRNA from 1 species
AUUGAACGCUGGCGGCAGGCCUAACACAUGCAAGUCGAGCGAGCGGCGGACGGGUGAGUAAUGUAUGGGGACUGCCCGAUAGAGGGGGAUAACUACUGGAAACGGUAGCUAAUAACGCAUACUAUCGGAUAACCCAUAUGGGAUUAGCUGGUAGGUGAGGUAAUGGCUCACCUAGGCGACGAUCCCUAGCUGGUCUGCGAGGAUGAUCGGCCACACUGGAAAUGAGAAACGGCCCAGACUCCUACGGAGGCAGCAGUAGGGAAUAUUGCGCAAUGGGCGAAAGUCUGACGCAGCAAGGCCGCGUGUAUGAUGAAGGCCCUAGGGUUGUAAAGUACUGUCAUUCGGGAGGCGUUACCGAAAGAAGAAGCACCGGCUAACUCCGUGCCAGCAGCCGCGGUAAUUC